rnacentral:rRNA from 1 species
GAUGAACGCUGGCGGCGUGCCUAAUACAUGCAAGUCGAGCGAACAGACGAGGAGCUUGCUCCUCUGACGUUAGCGGCGGACGGGUGAGUAACACGUGGAUAACCUACCUAUAAGACUGGGAUAACUUCGGGAACCCGGAGCUAAUACCGGAUAAUAUAUUGAACCGCAUGGUUAAUUAGUAAAAGACGGUUUUCUUGUCACUAAUAGUUGAUUCCGCGCCGCAUUGGCUAGUUGGUAAGGUACCGGCUUACCAAGGCAACGAUGCGUAGCCGACCUGAGAGGGUGAUCGGCCACACUGGAACUGAGACACGGUCCAGACUCCUACGGGAGGCAGCAGUAGGGAAUCUUCCGCAAUGGGCGAAAGCUUGACGGAGCAACGCCGCGUGAGUGAUGAAGGUCUUCGGAUCGUAAAACUCUGUUAUUAGGGAAGAACAAAUGUGUAAGUAACUAUGCACGUCUUGACGGUACCUAAUCAGAAAGCCACGGCUAACUACGUG